CAAAGAGUGGCGAACGGGUGAGUAACACGUGGGUAACCUACCUCUUAGCAGGGGAUAACAUUUGGAAACAAGUGCUAAUACCGUAUAACACUAACAACCGCAUGGUUGUUAGUUGAAAGAUGGUUCUGCUAUCACUAAGAGAUGGACCCGCGGUGCAUUAGCUAGUUGGUAAGGUAAUGGCUUACCAAGGCGAUGAUGCGUAGCCGAGUUGAGAGACUGAUCGGCCACAAUGGGACUGAGACACGGCCCAUACUCCUACGGGAGGCAGCAGUAGGGAAUCUUCCACAAUGGGCGCAAGCCUGAUGGAGCAACGCCGCGUGUGUGAUGAAGGGUUUCGGCUCGUAAAACACUGUUAUAAGAGAAGAACGACAUUGAGAGUAACUGUUCAGUGUGUGACGGUAUCUUAUCAGAAAGGAACGGCUAAAUACGUGCCAGCAGCCGCGGUAAUACGUAUGUUCCAAGCGUUAUCCGGAUUUAUUGGGCGUAAAGCGAGCGCAGACGGUUAUUUAAGUCUGAAGUGAAAGCCCUCAGCUCAACUGAGGAAGGGCUUUGGAAACUGGAUAACUUGAGUGCAGUAGAGGAAAGUGGAACUCCAUGUGUAGCGGUGAAAUGCGUAGAUAUAUGGAAGAACACCGGUGGCGAAAGCGGCUUUCUGGACUGUAACUGACGUUGAGGCUCGAAAGUGUGGGUAGCAAACAGGAUUAGAUACCCUGGUAGUCCACACCGUAAACGAUGAGUGCUAGAUGUUCGAGGGUUUCCGCCCUUGAGUGUCGCAGCUA
rnacentral:rRNA from 1 species